rnacentral:misc_RNA from 1 species
GAAAUGCGAUACGUAAUGCGAAUUGCAGAACGCGAGUCAUCAAAUCUUUGAACGCACCUGGCGCUUCCGGUAACUCGGGAGCAUGCUUGUUUCAGUGUCGUCCCACCCUCUCCCGCCUCCGGCUCUUCAUCGAGUCGGCCGGCGUGGAGGUCGUUGAGCCUCCCCUCGCGCUCAUUUGCGGGAGCAGGCUUCAAGUGUGGUCUUGUAAACAUGUUGCAGCGUUCGCAGCUCUGCUGCUGGCAUGGUGAGGUAGUGUUGGCCGUCAAAAGCCUCUCACAAAUGCCCCCAAGCCGCUUCAAGGCAGCAGUGCAUACCAAAUGCGGGCGCAAUUGUACACAUGAGGCGUCGCGCUUUCGAGUGCGGUGCCGACAACACAACUUUCAACUACCGACCUGAAAUC